rnacentral:tRNA from 1 species
GGCUUCGUAGCUCAGCCGGUAGAGCGCUUGCCGCAUUGUGGCAUUGUGUUUCUGUGGCUUGUUCGAAUCCAGCCGAAGCCC